rnacentral:lncRNA from 1 species
AUCAUGGCUGUAACAAACUUGUUGGCACAGUCUUGUAACAAGGCUGACAGUGCCAUCAAGCUUGUUACAAGUUGUUAACAGCUUGUUUCAAACUUGUUCCAACAAACUUGGAACAAGCUGUGCGAACACAACUUGUUGGCAGCUUGUGAACAGGCUUGUAACAACUUGUUUGCAGACUUGUUACAACUUGUGCGUUUUUACGUGUGUACCUGAAAAAUGCAAGGAAAACUUACGUUUCGAGUGAGGUAUCUCUGUGGGGAAGUUGUGUUUGCUCACUACUCGAAAUGUCAAAGUUUUGCUUGUAUUUUUCAGGAAGUUGUAUCUCUCUCAAUCUUAAUCUGGCGUUAUUUUCACAACCAACGUUGACACAGGCCAUUCGAGUGCUAGUAACCGCAGUUCAGGGAUGGAUUUACUGGGGGUGCAC